UACGUAGGGUCCGAGCGUUGUCCGGAAUUAUUGGGCGUAAAGGGCUCGUAGGCGGUUCGUCACGUCGGGAGUGAAAACUCGGGGCUUAACCCCGAGCCUGCUUCCGAUACGGGCAGACUAGAGGUAGGCAGGGGAGAGCGGAACUCCUGGUGUAGCGGCGGAAUGCGCAGAUAUCAGGAAGAACACCGGUGGCGAAGGCGGCUCUCUGGGCCUUACCUGACGCUGAGGAGCGAAAGCGUGGGUAGCGAACAGG
rnacentral:rRNA from 1 species